CCCCUAGAUGUUCUGGGCCGCACGCGCGCUACACUGAACAGUUCAACAAGUCUUAACCUUGGCCGAUAGGUCUGGGUAAUCUUUGAGCGCUGUUCGUGAUUGGGAUAGACCUUUGCAAUUAUGGGUCUUCAACGAGGAAUUCCUAGUAAACGCAAGUCAUCAGCUUGCAUUGAUUACGUCCCUGCCCUUUGUACACACCGCCCGUCGCACCUACCGAUUGAAUGGUCCGGUGAAAUCUCGGGACGGCGGCUUGGUCGCUUGCGUCCGACUGCUGAAACUUGAUUAAACCAUAUCAUUUAGAGGAAGGUGAANUCGUANCA
rnacentral:rRNA from 1 species